GCUUAUCACCAUUCCAGAUUGAAUAUACCCGAUCUCGUCUGAUCUCGGAAGUCAAGCAAUCUCAGGCUUGGUAAGUACGAUU
rnacentral:rRNA from 1 species